rnacentral:misc_RNA from 1 species
GAAGAAAAAAAAAAAAAAGAACUGAUCAAAAUAUGGUGCAAGAUAAGCUGUCCACGAAUUUUGUCAGUGCCAAAUAGAUGUCAUUCUGGGGCACUGCCAACAUUGCUGAUAGAAGUAACAUAGGCGGGGAACCAUCCAGAAAGAUGAGCACUCCCGCGUACUUCAACAUUGCAGUGACAAAGGUUCAUCCCACUUAUAAUUCUUUAUGUGUGCAGUAAUUUAAUGAACUGACUAACCAAUUCAACAACCAGCCUUGGCAGAAGAAA